rnacentral:rRNA from 1 species
UACGAAGGGGGCUAGCGUUGCUCGGAAUCACUGGGCGUAAAGGGUGCGUAGGCCGCACGGUAAGUCAGAGGUGAAAUCCCGGAGCUCAACUCCGGAAAUGCCUCCGAUACUGCCGUGCUUGAGGACUGGAGAGGAGUCUGGAAUUCACAGUGGAGCAGUGAAAUGCGUAGAUAUUGUGAGGAACACUAGUGGCGAAGGCGAGACUCUGGACAGUUCCUGACGCUGAGGCACGAAGGCCAGGGGAGCAAACGGG